GCCAGUUUGGCUCAAUGGGUAGAGUGUCAGUCUGUGGACUGAAAAGUCAUGGGUUCGAUUCCGAUCAAGGGCG
rnacentral:tRNA from 1 species